rnacentral:rRNA from 1 species
AAUCAACGCUGGCGGCGUGCCUAACACAUGCAAGUCGAGCGCGAAAGCGGGGCAACCCGCAAGUAGAGCGGCGAACGGGUGAGUAACGCGUGGGUGAUCUACCUCCGAGUGGGGAACAACAUCGGGAAACUGGUGCUAAUACCGCAUGACAUCCUCAGGUCACACUGAGGAUCAAAGCCGGGGACCGUAAGGCCUGGCGCUUGGAGAGGAGCCCGCGUCCGAUUAGCAGUUGGCGGGGUAACGGCCCACCAAGGCGACGAUCGGUAGCCGGCCUGAGAGGGCGGACGGCCACACUGGGACUGCGACACGGCCCAGACUCCUACGGGAGGCAGCAGUGGGGAGUAUUGGGACAAUGGGGGCAACCCUGAUCCAGCAAUGCCGCGUGAGUGAUGAAGGCCUUAGGGUUGUAAAGCUC